rnacentral:rRNA from 1 species
CUGGAGGCGUGCCUAACACAUGCAAGUCGAGCGAUCAGAUAAGGAGCUUGCUCCUUUGACGUUAGCGGCGGACGGGUGAGUAACACGUGGAUAACCUACCUAUAAGACUGGGAUAACUUCGGGAAACCGGAGCUAAUACCGGAUAACAUAUUGAACCGCAUGGUUCAAUAGUGAAAGGCGGCUUUGCUGUCACUUAUAGAUGGAUCCGCGCCGUAUUAGCUAGUUGGUAAGGUAACGGCUUACCAAGGCAACGAUACGUAGCCGACCUGAGAGGGUGAUCGGCCACACUGGAACUGAGACACGGUCCAGACUCCUACGGGAGGCAGCAGUAGGGAAUCUUCCGCAAUGGGCGAAAGCCUGACGGAGCAACGCCGCGUGAGUGAUGAAGGUCUUCGGAUCGUAAAACUCUGUUAUCAGGGAAGAACAAAUGUGUAAGUAACUGUGCACAUCUUGACGGUACCUGAUCAGAAAGCCACGGCUAACUACGUGCCAGCAGCCGCGGUAAUACGUAGGUGGCAAGCGUUAUCCGGAAUUAUUGGGCGUAAAGCGCGCGUAGGCGGUUUUUAA